UCUGAAGCUUUCCUGCGACAAAGUCAAGGAGAAGGCAGCGUUUUGUGCAUUUCAAGAUGCUGCUAGCUCUGAGGUGAAGACAGCAGAAGGGGAGGCUGUGCUGAGGCCUUUAAAGGGGAGGGGGAGGGAGGAGGAGGGAGGUGUCAGAAGGUCCCCUGCAGUGCUGUGACUGAUGGGCGUUUAUGCAUUUAUUUUACACAGCGUGAUUCUGGAUGGCCAGUCCCCGAUCCCCGUCUGCUCUGUGGUUCUCUGUGUUGUGGGAGGUGCCGGACUCAGGUCCUUGGGGCGGGGUUCACCUGAAUUCUGUUUGUGCGCAUGUGUGAAGUUUUGGCACUAGGAAAAGCAGAAACGGGAGAGGGCAUCAAAAACACUGGAUAAGAACAUAAUCCUGAGGGAGGACUGGUUGCCAGCUCGUCUGAACUAUGAACUCAGUUGGGGAAAAGAUGACACGGCCUCCGACCUGGAACACCAGGCUUACCUGAGAGCUGGCCAUUUCUUCUUCUUUCCCCUCGUCCUCUAGAUUUCUUUCUCAGAAGGUAUUUGUGGAGAAAUCACAGCUGCAUCAGGAGAAAAUGCCCUUAAGGCACCAACAGAACGUCUUCACCAGAAAAGUGCUCACUGGCAGGCAGGACUUUGAAAUGCAGGAGGACCAAACUUCCUAGUUUUUUGUGUCAGGAGCUUUUCAGAAACGGAGACUACGUACUUGGAGCCCAACCUCUGAGUUUUCCUUCUAUAGUUUCAGUGGCUUCCACUCCCACAGACACCCACAAAUUCUGCUACAGCAUAGGAACGGUGUGCUACGCAGACCUAAUCCUCCCACACUCACGUAGAGGAGACCCUGUAACCUCUCCUUGAGCAAAAGCCUGCACUCAAAUCUCAUAAAUUAAUGGGAAGCCUUGCCAACUGACUCUGGCCUCAGGGAGAAUCACCUGGAGCACUUAAUUAAGCCAACACUGUUGUUUCAAUCCACACCAAUUGACAGAAUCUGAGGAGGGGGGCAACAGCAAGGGUCGGUUUUGAAACGCCACAUGGGAUCCCUUUGGGAACCAUUUGGGGAAGUAAGGAAGGCUAUGGUUAUUAUCCAGGUUUAAACCCAUUUCUUCUCCAGUGAUCAGAGUUUCUGGACAUUGGAAAAAAGAGAGUUACAAAUUUAAGAGCCAAACACACCUUCAGCUCUUUAGCCGACUUUUUCCAUGUCUUCCUAAUUCCCAAUGACAGAGCUCC